rnacentral:rRNA from 1 species
GAGUUUGAUCCUGGCUCAGAUUGAACGCUGGCGGCAUGCCUUACACAUGCAAGUCGAACGGCAGCACGGGGGCAACCCUGGUGGCGAGUGGCGAACGGGUGAGUAAUACAUCGGAACGUGUCCUGUAGUGGGGGAUAGCCCGGCGAAAGCCGGAUUAAUACCGCAUACGAUCUGUGGAUGAAAGCGGGGGCUCCUUCGGGACCUCGCGCUACAGGGGCGGCCGAUGGCAGAUUAGCUAGUUGGUGGGGUAAAGGCCUACCAAGGCGACGAUCUGUAGCUGGUCUGAGAGGACGACCAGCCACACUGGGACUGAGACACGGCCCAGACUCCUACGGGAGGCAGCAGUGGGGAAUUUUGGACAAUGGGCGAAAGCCUGAUCCAGCAAUGCCGCGUGUGUGAAGAAGGCCUUCGGGUUGUAAAGCACUUUUGUCCGGAAAGAAAACCUCGUGGUUAAUACCCGUGGGGGAUGACGGUACCGGAAGAAUAAGCACUGGCUAACUACGUGCCAGCAGCCGCGGUAAUACG